AAGUCGUAACAAGGUCUCCGUUGGUGAACCAGCGGAGGGAUCAUUAUAGAAGUUUAACAACUCCUAAACCCAUGUGAACAUACCUCUCGUUGCCUCGGCGGAGAGAGGGACUACCCCGGUGUGACUACCCGGAGGCGAUUACCUUGGUAACCGCCACCCGGCACCCUGGGGGCGCUCCCUCCCGCCGCCGCUGGCCCACGAAACUCUGUUUUAUUUUGGAACUCUGAAUCA
rnacentral:misc_RNA from 1 species